rnacentral:rRNA from 1 species
UUCGCAAUGCCCGAAAGGGUGACGAAGCGACGCCGCGUGUGGGAAGAAGGCCUUCGGGUUGUAAACCACUGUCGGGAGUUAGGAAAUGCAGGUGCGUUAAUAGCGCACUUGCUUGACUAAGGCUCCAGAGGAAGCCACGGCUAACUCUGUGCCAGCAGCCGCGGUAAUACAGAGGCGGCAAGCGUUGUUCGGAAUUAUUGGGCGUAAAGAGCACGUAGGCGGCCUUGCAAGUCAGUUGUGAAAGCCUUCCGCUUAACGGAAGAACGGCAUCUGAUACUACAGGGCUUGAGUACGGGAGGGGAGAGUGGAACUUCUGGUGGAGCGGUGAAAUGCGUAGAUAUCAGAAGGAACGCCGGCGGCGAAAGCGACUCUCUGGUCCGAAACUGACGCUGAGUGUGCGAAAGCUAGGGGAGCAAACGGGAUUAGAUACCCCGGUAUCCCUAGCCGUAAACGAUGGGCACUAAGUAGAGGGGUUUU